GAUCAUUAUAGAGUUAUACAACUCCAAACCCGUGUAAACGUACCUCAUUGUUGCCUUGGCCGGCUGUGCCUACCCUGUAGCGACUUACCCUGUAGCCACCUACCCUGUAGGAGUUACCCUGUAAGGAUCUACCCUGUAGGCAUGUCCAGGGCCGGCCGAAGGCUCCCGAACCCUAGUUAUAUACGUGACUUCUGAAAACGCAACUUAAUAAGUUAAAACUUUCAACAACGGAUCUCUUGGUUCUGGCAUCGAUGAAGAACGCAGCGAAAUGCGAUAAGUAAUGUGAAUUGCAGACUUCAGUGAAUCAUCGAAUCUUUGAACGCACAUUGCGCCCAUUAGUAUUCUAGUGGGCAUGCCUGUUCGAGCGUCAUUUCGACCCUUAAGCCCUGUUGCUUAGUGUUGGGAGCCUACCUACCCUGUAGCUCCUCAAAGUUAGUGGCGGAGUCGGGUUACACUCUAAGCGUAGUAACAUUUUCUCGCUUCUGUAGUUGUCUCAGUUCCUGCCGUAAAACACCUAUAUUUAUCUAGGUUGACCUCGGAUCAGGUAGGAAUACCCGCUGAACUUAAGCAUAUCAAUAAGCGGAGGAAAAGAAACCAACAGGGAUUGCCCUAGUAACGGCGAGUGAAGCGGCAACAGCUCAAAUUUGAAAUCUGGCCUUCUGGUCCGAAUUGUAAUUUGUAGAGGAUGCUUUUGGCGCGGUGCCUUCCGAGUUCCCUGGAACGGGACGCCUUAGAGGGUGAGAGCCCCGUACGGUUGGACACCAAGCCUUUGUAAAGCUCCUUCGACGAGUCGAGUAGUUUGGGAAUGCUGCUCUAAAUGGGAGGUAAAUUUCUUCUAAAGCUAAAUACCGGCCAGAGACCGAUAGCGCACAAGUAGAGUGAUCGAAAGAUGAAAAGCACUUUGAAAAGAGGGUUAAAUAGCACGUGAAAUUGUUGAAAGGGAAGCGUUUACGACCAGACUUUUUCCAGGUGGAUCAUCCGGUGUUCUCACCGGUGCACUUCGCCUGGUUUAGGCCAGCAUCGGUUUCCGUAGGGGGAUAAAAGCUUUGGGAAAGUAGCUCCCUCCGGGGAGUGUUAUAGCCCGCUGCAUAAUACCCUUAUGGGGACCGAGGAUCGC
rnacentral:rRNA from 1 species